rnacentral:rRNA from 1 species
AGAGUUUGAUCCUGGCUCAGGAUGAACGCUAGCGACAGGCUUAACACAUGCAAGUCGAGGGGCAGCACAGGUAGCAAUACCGGGUGGCGACCGGCGCACGGGUGAGUAACGCGUAUGCAACUUGCCUAUCAGAGGGGGAUAACCCGGCGAAAGUCGGACUAAUACCGCAUGAAGCAGGGGCCCCGCAUGGGGAUAUUUGCUAAAGAUUCAUCGCUGAUAGAUAGGCAUGCGUUCCAUUAGGCAGUUGGCGGGGUAACGGCCCACCAAACCGACGAUGGAUAGGGGUUCUGAGAGGAAGGUCCCCCACAUUGGUACUGAGACACGGACCAAACUCCUACGGGAGGCAGCAGUGAGGAAUAUUGGUCAAUGGGCGUAAGCCUGAACCAGCCAAGUCGCGUGAGGGAUGAAGGUUCUAUGGAUCGUAAACCUCUUUUAUAAGGGAAUAAAGUGUGGGACGUGUCCCGUUUUGUAUGUACCUUAUGAAUAAGGAUCGGCUAACUCCGUGCCAGCAGCCGCGGUAAUACGGAGGAUCCGAGCGUUAUCCGGAUUUAUUGGGUUUAAAGGGUGCGUAGGCGGCCUUUUAAGUCAGCGGUGAAAGUCUGUGGCUCAACCAUAGAAUUGCCGUUGAAACUGGGGGGCUUGAGUAUGUUUGAGGCAGGCGGAAUGCGUGGUGUAGCGGUGAAAUGCAUAGAUAUCACGCAGAACCCCGAUUGCGAAGGCAGCCUGCCAAGCCAUUACUGACGCUGAUGCACGAAAGCGUGGGGAUCAAACAGGAUUAGAUACCCUGGUAGUCCACGCAGUAAACGAUGAUCACUAGCUGUUUGCGAUACACUGUAAGCGGCACAGCGAAAGCGUUAAGUGAUCCACCUGGGGAGUACGCCGGCAACGGUGAAACUCAAAGGAAUUGACGGGGGCCCGCACAAGCGGAGGAACAUGUGGUUUAAUUCGAUGAUACGCGAGGAACCUUACCCGGGCUUAAAUUGCAGAUGAAUUACGGUGAAAGCCGUAAGCCGCAAGGCAUCUGUGAAGGUGCUGCAUGGUUGUCGUCAGCUCGUGCCGUGAGGUGUCGGCUUAAGUGCCAUAACGAGCGCAACCCUUGCCACUAGUUACUAACAGGUGAUGCUGAGGACUCUGGUGGGACUGCCAGCGUAAGCUGCGAGGAAGGCGGGGAUGACGUCAAAUCAGCACGGCCCUUACAUCCGGGGCGACACACGUGUUACAAUGGCGUGGACAAAGGGAGGCCACCUGGCGACAGGGAGCGAAUCCCCAAACCACGUCUCAGUUCGGAUCGGAGUCUGCAACCCGACUCCGUGAAGCUGGAUUCGCUAGUAAUCGCGCAUCAGCCAUGGCGCGGUGAAUACGUUCCCGGGCCUUGUACACACCGCCCGUCAAGCCAUGGGAGCCGGGGGUACCUGAAGUGCGUAACCGCGAGGAGCGCCCUAGGGUAAAACUGGUGACUGGGGCUAAGUCGUAACAAGGUAGCCGUACCGGAAGGUGCGGCUG